rnacentral:rRNA from 1 species
GUGCCAGCAGCCGCGGUAAUACCGGCAGUCCAAGUGAUGGCCGAUAUUAUUGGGCCUAAAGCGUCCGUAGCUUGCUGUGUAAGUCCAUUGGGAAAUCGACCAGCUCAACUGGUCGACGUCCGGUGGAAACUACACAGCUUGGGGCCGAGAGACUCAACGGGUACGUCCGGGGUAGGAGUGAAAUCCUGUAAUCCUGGACGGACCACCAAUGGGGAAACCACCUCAGGAGAACGGAUCCGACAGUGAGGGACGAAAGUCAGGGUCUCCAACCGGAUUAGAAACCCUUGUAGUCC